rnacentral:rRNA from 1 species
GACGUAGGUGGCGAACGUUAUCCGGAAUUAUUGGGCGUAAAGAGCGUGUAGGCGGUCAGGUAGGUCCGUUGUGAAAACUCGAGGCUCAACCUCGAGACGCCGAUGGAAACCAUCUGACUAGAGUCCGGAAGAGGAGAGUGGAAUUCCUGGUGUAGCGGUGAAAUGCGCAGAUAUCAGGAAGAACACCCGUGGCUAAGGCGGCUCUCUAGUACGGUACUGACGCUGAGACGCGAAAGCGUGGGGAGCGAACAGG